AUACGUAGGGGGCGAGCGUUAUCCGGAUUUAUUGGGCGUAAAGCGUGUGUAGGCGGUUUAUUAAGUCUAAGAUUAAAGCCUGAGGCUUAACCUCAGUUCGUUUUAGAAACUGGUAGACUUGAGUGUGGUAGAGGCAAGUGGAAUUUCUAGUGUAGCGGUUAAAUGCGUAGAUAUUAGAAGGAACACCAGUGGCGAAGGCGGCUUCCUGGGCCAUUACUGACGCUGAGACACGAAAGCGGGGGGAGCAAACAGGAUUAGAUACCCUGGUAGUCCACGCCGUAAACGAUGAGUGCUAAGUGUUGGGGGGUUUCCGCCCCUUAGUGCUGCAGCUAACGCAUUAAGCACUCCGCCUGGGGAGUACGGUCGCAAGACUGAAACUCAAAGGAAUUGACGGGG
rnacentral:rRNA from 1 species